GCAGGGAAAGGUGACAGCAGGAAUUGUGUACAGGAAGAUCCAGGUGCAGGGUACAUGGGGCUUCCCCUUCUCUAUGAAGUACUCCAUGCAGCAUUGUCACAGCCACAGGACAAGAGCUCUUCCAGAAGGUGUGUGACAUGGCACACAUUAAAGAAGCUCACAUUUUUGGCCUCAGUGUACUCAGAGACAGGCAGCUCCAUCUGGUGGUUAUAGGUGAGCCUCAGAGUUCAUCUUUAAACAGGAACUGUGCUUCUUUCCAGGUGUGCUAAGUCAUUAAGCAGAGCUGUACUGAGGUAUCAGCAGAGCAUUGGUGUCCUUAGAAUGUCCUUUGGUAAGUGCCAAUCUGGUGCUGUUGCCCAGCAAAGGUGAAUGAGUGUACGGAAGGUUCUGGAGCCAUAGGUAUGUGACUACAGAAGGCUCUAGAGAAUGAGGGCUUCUGGGAAUAAGUGAAGAAGAUUCUGGAGAGUGAGGAUGUGUGCUUAUGUGGAAAUUUCCAGAGACAUAGCAGGGAAACCAGACGUAGGCUUGUGGACAUAGUUCCCUAAACCGGUGGCCAGUCAGGUGGCUAUACUAAAAGUAACAGAAGAGAUUUUCAGGAGGGAUGCACUGCUUUGGUCUAGUGAAUGACUUUGGAUAGGUAGACAGGCUGACUGGGAAACAAGUUUGUGGCAUGCGUUUGGCCCUGUGCCUGAGACUUCCAAGUUCCCUUAUUCAGGAACUCUCUCAAAUGAUGCCACUUGUUCCUGGGAUCUCAGCUGCUAGAAGACUACACCUGCAGGGACAGCCCUUGUGUUGCUU